CAGGGACAGGAACGGCAUCAACUUGGCCGACAGGGACAGGAACGGCAUCUACUUGGCCGACAGGGACAGGAACGGGGACUACUUGGCCGACAGGGACAGGAACGGGGACUACUUGGCCGACAGGGACAGGAACGGGGACUACUUGGCCGACAGAGACAGGAACGGCAUCUACUUGACCGACAGGGACAGGAACGGCAUCUACUUGGCCGACAGGGACAGGAACGGCAUCUACUUGGCCGACAGAAACAGGAACGGGGACUGGAACGGCCUCAACAUGGCCGACAGGAACAGGAACGGGGACUGGAACGGCCGCAACAUGGCCGACUGGAACGGCCUCAACAUGGCCGACAGGAACAGGAACAGGGACUAGAACGGCCGCAACAUGGCCGUCAGGAACGGCCGCAACAUGGCCGACAGGAACGGCCGCAACAUGGCCGACAGGAACGGCCGCAACAUGGCCGACAGGAACGGCCGCAACAUGGCCGACAGGAACUGGGACGGCGUCCCCUCCGGAGCCGGCAUGACUGCUUACAGCUGCCGAGCUCGACGGAGGAGACAUCGGGCCUGAUCGGGUGUGCACAGCACCCGUUCGACAGGUGGAGUCCUCUGACUGGGAUAAGACCUGCGCGUGACUGGACUGAACUGGAACCGGGACUGGGCUCGACUGACCUGGAACCGGGACUGGGCUCGACUGAGCUGGAACCGGGACUGGGCUCGACUGAACUGGAACCGGGACUGGGCUCGACUGAACUGGAACCUGGACUGGGCUCGGCUGGACUGGAGACUGAACUGGUCUCGGCUGGACUGGAGACUGAACUGGUCUCGGCUGGACUGGAGACUGAACUGGUCUCGGCUGGACUGGAGACUGAACUGCGCGCGGCUGGACUGGAGACUGAACUGCGCGCGGCUGGACUGGAGACUGAACUGCGCGCGGCUGGACUGGAGACUGAACUGCGCGCGGCUGGACUGGAGACUGAACUGCGCGCGGCUGGACUGGAGACUGAACUGCGCGCGGCUGGACUGGAGACUGAGCAGCGCGCGGCUGGACUGGAGACUGAGCAGCGCGCGGCUGGACUGGAGACUGAGCAGCGCGCGGCUGGACUGGAGACUGAGCAGCGCGCGGCCGGACUGGAGACUGAACCGAGCGUGCCUGGGCUGAGACCUGAGCAUGGCAAGGCUAAACUGGAACCUGAACGGGGGACGACUGAACUGCGACUGGAGUCUGAGCAGAGCAUGGCUGAGCUGGGGACUGGGCAAAACACGGCUGAACUGGGGACUGGGCAAAACCCGACUGCGCUGGAGACUGGGCAAAACCCGACUGAGCUGGAGACUGGGCAAAACCCGACUGAGCUGGAGACUGGGCAAAACACGACUGAGCUGGAGACUGGGCAAAACCCGACUGAGCUGGAGACUGGGCAAAACACGACUGAGCUGGAGACUGAACAGCUUGCGUCUUGA
rnacentral:lncRNA from 1 species